rnacentral:rRNA from 1 species
AUGCUGCUAGUGGAUGGGCCUGGUGCGCGAAAUGGUCCUUCUUUGACUGAUCUCGGAGCUCCUCAGUUAUGGCCCAUGGACUACUUUCAGCCCGCUAGAAAUCGACUUCGCCUUCGCUGCUACGCAGUCAUGUCUUCUGUCUUAGCCCACAAGACCAUAGUCCCCCCCUCACGCGGCGGCAGAACACGGCCGGCGAUGGAGCACGGGACGUCAUCGGCGGCGGCGCUCUGGGGGCACGAGCACCUCCCGCUGCUGGCCCGCGCGCGCUCCAAGGACUCGGUAGAGUACAUCCUGCAGGCCCUUUGGCGCACCCGCCGCACCGGCCUCGACGCCGCCGACCGCGCCAUCGUCCGCGACAUCCUCCAGCUCCCCUCCGACUCCGAGCUCGACCCCCUCUUGGUGUGCCUCAGGAUACUGACCCGCAGGUGCGUCCAUGACAACAUCGCGAAGGAGGAGAUUCCGAAGCUUUUCCCCAAGGAGGUGCUGCCCGAGCUGCAAAGGCUGCUCACUUUGCUCCUGCAGAAGUUUCAGCCGGAGUGGCGAGAGGACACCUUAAAGGAUCAGGCAUCCGCGGCGAAUUCGGGAACAACAAAAGGCCAUUUGAGUAAAAAUCAAGACGCGUCAGAGCAACCAGCUACUACACAGCUUCACUGUGGUACAUCAUCAGCAAAGGUGUCGUCUGAAUCAGGAGAGAAAGAAGGGAAGCUACAGUUAGCUAAGGAUUCCUUAGACAAAAUGCUCAACGAUGUAUACCCAGUCAGGGGCAAAGUGUCAAAUGCUGGCAAUACCAACGGGGGCCAUGGAGAAGCAGCCAGAAGCACUUAG